GGGGGGGUAGCGAAGUGGCUAAACGCGGCGGGCCGUAAAUCCCCUCCUUCGGGGUCGGCAGUUCGAAUCUGCCCCCCUCCCCCA
rnacentral:tRNA from 1 species